rnacentral:lncRNA from 10 species
AGCCAGGGCUUCCUCUCUGAGCUGAGCCACGUCCACCCCAGAGCAUGGGAACAUUCUCUUUUUUACUCUCUCUUUUUGAAUGUAUUGAAAAGGUGAACAGAAGUAUUUCGUUGUCAUAUUAAUAAUACCGUUGGAAGUAAAGUGUUUGGUGUCGCAAAGUGAAACCAGUACUCAGGCAAAAGUUUUUUUAGUAAGGCAAUUUACUUCUGCAAAAGGUUUUUGUUUGCAUUAAUCACGAUCGCAAGAGCACCCUGAACAAAGGAGGGAAGGGGUUUUUAUUUUUAACGUAAAGUCUCUUCCUCUGUGUUACUCCCCCAUGGGCUAGGGUCGGACCCCACAAUCUAAACUGACCCGAUUGGCUAUUUGUAAAUAUUUUUCCAAAUAAGGAAGGGAAGGGGCAUGUAUAAGUCACAGUGGUGGGACGUGUGGUUUUGAAGGGUGGGAAGGCUGCAGAGUGAGUAAUCAAGGGAACAGAUGUGAAUUAUUGAUUAGAGCUGUUGGGAAGGAAGGUUGUUACAGUAACUAGGGGCAAGGAGGCAUGGAGAACAAGCAAGUUGAGUUUGAGAACAAAGAACAAGAAAGUUAAGACUAAACCUUUGAAGAGGAAUUUUAUUGUAUUUUACAAUUUCCCCCUUUUAAUUUUUAUAAUUAAAAAAAAACCUUUUUUUUUGAGAUGGAGUUUUUGCUCUUGCUGCCUAGGCUGGAGUGCAAUGGCACGAUUUUGGCUCACUACAACAUUUGCCUCCCAGGUUCAAGCAAUUCUCCUGCCUCAGCCUCCCGAGUAGCUGGGAGUACAGGCAUGUGCCACCACGACCAGCUAAUUUUGUGUCUUUAGUAUAGAUGGGGCUUCUUCAUAUUGGUCAGGCUGGUCUCUAACUUCUGACCUCGGGUGAUCCGCCCGCAUCAGCCUCUCAAAGUGCUGGGAUUACAGGCGUGAGCCACUGCGACCACACGCUUUUUAAAACUUUUUAAACAUACCUUUACUUUGUUGUUUGACUUGAUCUUUUAAAAGGAAAAGUUUAUCUGAAUAAGGUGGAGGAGAACUAAGGGAGGUUUUCGUAAGUGUCGUUUUUAUAAGUCUUUGUACUAGCCCACAGAUGCAUGGUAUGACACAACACCCAACAAGAAUUAGUACACCUAUUACAACUAUAAGAGAAGUAAGAAUUGAGGCUAUGACUUUUUUUCGUUUACUGAACCACCUCUCUAGCCAUUCUGAAAACGUGUUAUUGACCCCAGAAUUUUUAGCUAAUUCAUUGGAUAAAGUGGUAAGUUCGUGUAAGGCCCUUCUUAUGUUCCUAUUGGGGGCAGUAUUGUUUGGGAUGAAGGUACAACAUUUGAGUUUUAAUCAUAACACAAACUCCACCUUUUUCAGCUAAUAUUAUGUCCAGGGCCAUUUUGUUUUUCUAAGUUAUCUGGCUAGUAGGCCUUAAUUGGUUGGCUAUUUCUUUGACAGCAUUUCUGGUGUAAUUAAUAAACUAAUAUUGAUUAUAAUAGAUGUGAUUUAUCUAUCUAAUCUACAUUUUUAUUAAUAGUUACCCGUGGAAAUAUUGAUUUAAAUCCUGCAGCUAUUUGAUCUUGGGCUUUGAAUUCAUCAGGUACCACCCGUGGGACUCCAGUUGUGUCUAAAUAAACUUGAAAGUCAAAAGACACAUAAGGGGCUUCUCUUAUUUUACAGUGUUGUGGUUUUUCUUUUUCUAGUCGAUGAAAUGCCAGAGUGAAAGGGAUAGCCAACUGGACAACAGUGCAAGUGCCGUUCCAGUUACUUGGCAGAGUGUCCAGUAAGGGUCCACCACAAUACCACCAUAUAUUUGCUCAAAGAUGAACAAGGGAAGACUGACUGGUAAGAUCUUGGAAAGGCUUAAGCUCACUGUAUCCCAUUAAGUCUCCAAGAAAUGCCAAGUUUUCCCCUUGUCGUGAGAGACACGAGGUAAAAUUGACGCUAGGAGAUGGAGGCUGGAUGGCUCUUGGGGCCUGACCCACAGGGUGUUGGACUUUAAGAAAUAGCAGAGAGAGAGCUCAGCAGGAUUUAUUACCCUAGGCUGUGGGGUCUUGGAAAAGAGCUACUAUACAGUUUAUGCCUGGUCAACUAGAAGACCAUCUGAGUGGGAAAGGGACAAUUUGGGCCUCUGGCUGGCCGCGUGCACAAGCAUAACAAUUGCUUUUGCUUAAUGUGUGCACAGAAUAUUUGAUCCAUUUUAACCAGGCAUUUGUAUCUUGGUAUCUUGUUUUAAUUGUUAAAGUUUGCCUUAAAUUAGUUACUUUUACAAUAUCUAUUUUAGUCUUAUCACUGGGCAUAGAAGAUAUGACAGUCUGGUUAGAAAAGAGCUUAGAAGAGAGGGGAGUGAAGAGCAUGAGGGAUGAUUAGACGCAUUUUGAAAGACCCUAUGAGAUUUGUGCCAGCCAAGUUGGGUCUUAUGCCAUAGAAGCAGCUCAAAUCAAAGUGGGGUUAGGAUCCAUAGAAGUGGGGGUGAGAAUAGAAAUUUGCACCAGAUUACAUUGGUUAAACUGGCAAUUGGAAGGAGUGUUUCCUUUAGCAAAGCAAAUAUAUGGCUUUAAGGACAUACAACCACUUGUUGAUGAGGUCCAGCCCUGAUAUUCGAUUGUUUAUAAAACAUCAUUCCAGCUGUGGCAGGCCUGUUUUUUUUACAUUUGUUAAAGAACAGGAGUCGUGUUAGGGGGAGCCUCUUGUCCAAAAGUGACAGAGAUAUUUCUCUGAGGCUGAGAGCUGUUUUUGACUCUGGAGAUUUUCACAGGGCAUAAUGAGGCAAGCACUAAAGGAAAUAGUUUGGGGUGAGCCCAACCUAGUUACAUUAAUAACGAGAGGAUUAGCAAUAGAAGGGGAAAAGGAGAAGGAGUAACAGAACAGAUGGAAGAUAGGUAAAUUUUCUUAGCUUUAGUUUGGAAGGGUUCUCCCCUGGAACUAUGGCCCAUGAUUCUGGAGAGGGUGUAGCAGGACGAGCCACAGACAAAACUCCUCAGACACCGAGUUAAAGAAGGAAGGGGUUUAUUCAGCCAGGGGCAUUGGCAAGACUCCUGUCUCAAGAGCUGAGCUCCCCAAGUGAGCAAUUCCUGUCCCUUUUAAAGGUUCACAACUCUAAGGGGAUGUGUGUGAGAGGGUCAUGAUUGAUUGAGCAAGCAGGGGGUACAUGACUGGGGGCUGCAUGCACCGGUAGUUAGAUUAGAACAAAACAGGAUAGGGAUUUUCACAGUGCAUUUCUAUACAAUGUCUGUAAUCUGUAGAUAACAUAACCGAUUAGGUCAGGGGUUGAUCUUUAACUACCAGGCCCAGGGUGUGGCGCUGGGCUGUCUGCUUGUGGAUUUCAUUUCUGCCUUUUAGUUUUUACUUUUUCUUUCUUUGGAAGCAGAAAUUGGGCAUAAGACAAUAUGAGGGGUGGUCUCCUCCCUUAUUCCCCCACUUUGAGACUCUCAAUAGUGGGAGUUCUCACUUUUAUUUUUACUACCUAUGUUUUCUUGCAAGACAGAUCGAUAGUGAUUCAUAUAUUACACUUGUGCUGAAGCAUUUUGGUGAACCAAGGUAACAAUGAAGCUUUUUAUCAUCUGAAGAAGUACAGGUAGCAAACAAGGGAGCAGUAAGCAGAUUCCUAUUACUAUUAUAACUUUUAUUAUAAGAGUUUUAAAUCCUCUUAGCGCUGGGAACCAUUUUCUAAACAUGGCCCCAGGAUCAAAUCCAUGCCACACUUGCAUGGGCACGUGUGCCAGUUUUGUCAUAUCUCUAACUAUGUCUUCAACAACUGGCCCUUGAUUAUCUAUGUGUAGGCAGCAAUUAGUAAGGUUAAAUUUCCUGCAGACCCCUCAUUCAGCUGCUGGCAAGUAGUCGAGGGCUAAUCUAUUUUGAUAUAUAGCAUUUCUCAUCUGAGUUUCUUGCCAGGCCAGAAUAGUCAAGGCUCUGCUGGUUUUAUUAGUGAUUAUUUUUAAGACAGCUUGUAACCAUAUGAUUCGGUUGAUCAUGUAAAUGGGGGUCCGGUAUCCCCAUGAGCCAUCUUGUGCCUAAGUAGCAGGCCUAUAAUAUUGUAUGAUUCUCUCAGGGGGCCAUUUAUCAUUUUUUCAAUUUCUUAUAGCUAUGAUUCUCUUUUCGCGGGAAGCGUAGACAGGGAAGCCAAGGAGUUUGCCUGUUUUUAUGGGCAGUAGGAAGAAAGAUGGUUUAAUAGUGCCAAUAACACAACUACCUGCCUACUGGUCAGUAAUCUGUCAUAAGCUCUAUGCCUACAUAUCCAGUAUAAUCCAGUGGGGGCUGUCCAGUCCCGGUGGGACUCCAGGUGGGUCCAGUUUGCAACUUUGAGAAUUUACUAAAUUUUCUCUCUGUGUGAUUUGAACUCCACCAAGUGAUUGUUUUUGUGGUACCAUUAUACAGUUUCUGUCUCCGACAACUAAGUCAUCCUACGCGGUGAGUGAAUUCUUUUCCUUCUCUAGCUAUGCAAUAUUGUUUAAUAAUUGAGGCUUUUAGGAUCAGAAAUUAUCAGGGUGAUUCUUUUGAGCCAGGAAUUCAUCAGGUACUGUAGGUACUAAUUCUCAGGCUUCCCAUGGCCAUUGAUCUCUUAUUACAGCUUCUCCACAUACAUAACAUGAAGUGACAUUGAGAGACUGGGCUACAUGCUUGGCUAAUUGCAAAAACAAAUUUCUUGUUUUUCCUGGAAUUUCUGGUACUGGCACAUUUAGUUCAUCAUAGAAAGUUUGAAACACUGGCUCAGGAGAGUCUUUGUAAGCUUCUCGAACCAAGAUAUUUACUCAAGGAUCCAGUCUGGCCCCGUCGAUUCCUAAGGUCACAUGCUCCUCUUUUUUUCUAGCGAGGAUCAAGGGGAUUGGUUAUGACUAGCUCUAAGGGGUUACAUUGUCCCUGAGUACAGGAAGGGCCAUUUUUUCCUUUCUGAAGGUGGGAUGGAUCUUUUUCAUUUUUUUUUUUAAUCCAAGUGGCCUAAAUGACACAAGACCAGUGUUCACAUUUAUUUCCACACAGUGCUAAUUUAUGACAGUUGUAUUUAUUUUCUGCCAUAUAGCCUCUUUUCUAAUUAAGAGAACCACACCUUAUUCCUAACUUAUUACUAUUAAUGACAGCACAGGCAUCAAAUUUUAAGGUGACUUGUUUGGGCACCCCUUUUUCUUCUGUUUUAGCUAACACUUUACUCAUAUCAUUUAUGAGCCCCAACCAGUCCUCAGUCCUUAAUCUUAUUUAAAAAACUGUCCCUCCAGGGUUCAAGCAAUUCUCCUGCCUCAGCCUCCAGGCAUGCACGACCACGUCCAGCUAAUUUUUGUAUUUUUAGUAGAGACGGGGUUUCACCAUAUUGGCCAGGCUGAUCUUGAACUCCUGACCUCAGGCAAUCCACCUGCUUCAUUAAAUUAUGCACUAAAAGUGUAUAAUUACACUGUUUGUAAUACAAAUGAUAAACGCUAGAGGUGACGGAUAUCUUAUUUACCCUAAUGAAAUUUCUACAUAUUGUAUGCCUGAAUCAAAAUAUACCAUAUAAGGCAUAAAUAUAUACACAUACAAUAUACCCACAAAUACUAAUAAUAAAUUUCAGUAAGAAAAAAAUAGGCAGGGUGCGGUGGCUUAUGCCUGUAAUCCCAGCACUUUGGGAGGCCGAGGUGGGCGAAUCACUUCAGGUCAGGAGUAUGGGACCAGCCUGGCCAACAUGGUGAAACCCCGUCUCUACUAAAAAUACAAAAAUUAACCAGGCAUGGUGGCGCACACCUGUAAUCUGAGAACUCCCACGUUCAAGCAAUUCUCUUGCCUCAGCCUCCUGAAUAGCUGGGAUUACAGGCAUGUGCCAUCAUGCCCAGCUAAUUUUUGUAUUUUUAGUAGAGGUGGGGUUUCUCAGUGUUGGUCAGGCUGGUCUCGAUCUCCUGACCUCAAGUGAUCCAUCUGCCUCAGCCUCCCAAAGUGCUAGGAUUACAGGCAUGAGCCACUGCACCCAUCCCAUACAACUUUAUAUUUAAAGAACCAUAAAUAUUAUAUUAAAACCUGUCUAAACCAAUAAAUAUACCUGGCUGUAUUUUAAUAUUUUUAACUAUAAUUAAUAAUUUCUUUCUGUCACUAUAAUGUAGAAAAGCAUUACUCUGAAACCCCACCUUAUUUUUUAUCUUUGCUUAUUAAUAAAAUAAUUCAUUAUGAUUUUUGAAAAAAAGUUUUAAGAUGUUCCGCAUACAUGUUAAUGUAGGUUAGACCAUCCAAAAGACAUUCAAAGCAUCAACAUUAAGUCAUUGGCUAGGAUUAUAGAAAUGAGAACAUGAACCCCCACCUUACACAUUACUUAAUAUCAGUUAACUACAAAGAGCCUCUCCACUUAUAUUUUCAUCAUGCAUCUUACAUUUUAAUGUCCUUACUCUUUUAUAGAAAAGGUCAUACAUAAUGCCCAACUAAUAAAAAACAAUCUCUAAUAUCUCUAAUGCAGCAACAAUUGAUCACAUGCUUUCACAUGUGAAUAUAAUAGGAAUAAAAUAGCAUAAAGCAAUGUGAAAGCUGUAUUAUAUCAUUAUUCACUUUUCAAAAAAAUUUUUUCAAGAAAACAAGUAUACUUUCAAUGUAAUUACAGUGCUUCAAAAAUCCACUUUUUAAAAAAUUAUAUAGAAAUAAUUUAUCUAACAGCUGUAGCUGUGGAUUAGUUUUUAUACUGAACAUUCUGAUUUAGUGUAAUGUCUGAAGUGUCAGUGCCUUAAUUAUUCUAUGGAAAAUUCUCUGAUAUUUACAUAGAAUCAAUUUUGAAUUAAAUAUUUUUUGAUAUUUACUGCAUCUGCAAAAAUAUAUUUUGGUAUAAACCCUCUGGUGUUUUCUAAGCUGUCAUUUUUGGAAAAGAAAAGUCUUUCCAUUCAUUACAUUUGCAGUACUAUUCUCAAUAUAAAUUCCCUUGAUUCCCUGAAACAAAGCUUGAGCAACUGCUUCAGGGUUUUCCUCUAGUACUACAUGUGUGCACUAAGAUCUGUGACACAAGUAAAGGCACUACAACCCCCUUUAUAUUUGUAAUGGCUGUCUUCAGAAUAAAUAUUCUUCACUUUAAAGACUUCUAUUUUCUGAAAGAUUUUUUGACAGUAAUUGCACUUUUAAUGCUUUAUUAACUAUGAACCUUCUUCUGUUCAGUAAGAUGUGAGUAGGCAUUAAUGGUUUUUCCAUAUUCUUUGUAUUUGCACAAUUUUUCUCAAGGAUAAGAGCUUUCCUGUGAAAUAAGGUAUAAGCACUAAUAAAAUAUUUUGCCACAUUCUUCACACUUACAGGAGUUUUGGCAGUAUGACUUCUAUCACCUACAAUCAUGUAUGACAAUCAUAUAAAGGCUUUGUCACAUUUUAUACAUUUCUAGGGUAUUACACUAGUAUAAUUUAUUUUUAUGUAUAGGAAAUGUGGAGGUGUUGGUAAAAGCAAUGUCGCAUCUUUCAGGUUUCCAGAUUUCCUCUUCAGCAUGAAUUAUCGCCAUGUCUCUUAAGAAUUAAGAACUUGUAGCCAGGCAUGGUGUCUCUUAAGAAUUAAGAACUUGUAGCCAGGCAUGGUGGCUCACGCCUGUAACCCCAGCACUUUGGAAGGCCAAGGCAGGUGGAUCACCUGAGGUCAGGAGUUCGAGACCAGCCUGGCCAACAUUGUGAAACCCCAUCUCUACUAAAAAUCCAAAAAUUAGCCAGGCGUGGUGUUGGGCACCUGUAAUCCCAGCUACUUGGGAGGCUGAGGCAGAAGAAUGGCUUAAACCCAGGAGGCAGAGAUUGCAGUGAACGGAGAUCAUGUCAUUGCACUCCAGCCUCGGUGACAAGAGUGAAACUCCAUCUCAAAAAAAAAGGAAUUGAGAACUUGUUAUAGGUUUAUAGGUUUUGCCACAUUCUUCACACUUGUAGGGCUUCUGUUUGGUAUGAAUUAUGUGUAAUAAGGGUUGAGAACUUCCUUAAAAAGCUUUGUCACAUUCUUUAUAUUUGUAGGGUUUGUGUUCCAUAUAAACUCUCAAAUUUACUAAGAGUCGAGGGCUGGUUAAAGGCUUUCCCACAUUCAUCACAUUCAUAGGGUUUCUCUCCAGUAUGAAUUAUCUUAUGCUAAUUAAAAGUGGAGGAACAUUUAAAAGAUCUGUCACAUUCUUCACUAUGUAGGGUUUUCGUUCAAUAUGAAUUUUCUUAUGUUUAUUAAGGUCUGAGGACCAGUUAAAAGCUUUGCCACAUUCUUCACAUUUGUAAGGUUUCUCUCCAGUAUGAAUUCUCUUAUGUGUAGUUAGAGUUGAGGAUGCAGUAAAGGAUUUGCCACAUUCUUCACAUUUGUAGGGUUUCUCUCCAGUAUGAGUUCUUUUAUGUUUGGAGAGGAUUGAGGGCCAGGUAAAGGUUUUGCCACAUUCAUCACAUUUGUAGGGUUUCUCUCCAGUAUGAAUUUUCUCAUGUGAAAAAAGGGUUGUGGAAUGGUUAAAAGCUUUGCCACAUUCUCUACAUCUGUAGGGUUUCUCUCCAGUAUGAAGUAUCUUAUGUGUAGUAAGGUGUGAGGAUAGGUGAAAGGCUUUGCCACAUUCUUCACAUUUGUAGGGUUUCUCUCCUGUAUGAAUUCUCUUAUGUAUAGUAAGGUUAGAGCAGUGCUUAAAGGAUUUGCCACAUUCUUCACAGUUGUAGGGUUUCCCUCUAGUAUGAAUUUUCUUAUGUGUGGUAACGUGUGAGGGGUGCUUAAAGGCUUUGCCACAUUCUUCACAUUUGUAGGGUUUCUCUCCAGUAUGAACUAUCUUAUGUGUAGUAAGGUCUGUGGAUCGGUUGAAGGCUUUGCCACAUUCUUCACAUUUGUAGGGUUUCUCUCCAGUAUGAAUUUUCUUAUGUGUAGUAAGGUUUGAGGACUGCUUAAAGGCUUUGCCACAUUCUUCACAUCUGUAGGGUUUCUCUCCGGUAUGAAUUCUCUUAUGUGUAGUAAGGUUUGCAGAUUGGUUAAAAGCUUUGCCACAUUCUUCACAUCUGUAAGGUUUCUCUCCAGUAUGAAUUUUCUUAUGUGUAGUAAGGGUUGAGGACCGUUUAAAAGCUUUGCCACAUAUUAUACAUUUGAAAAGAUUUAUUCCAGUAUGUCUUGUCUUAUAUGUGUUUGAAUUUGAAAACUUAUGAAAGACUUUUCCAUAUUUAUCACAUUGAAAUAUUUCUUUCUGGGUAGUUGUCAAACAUUGGUUAAGUCCAUUAUAACCUCCUUUGUGCACCUUAUGCUCACCCACGCUUUUACAGCCUUUUUUUAACUGUAAAUUGUCAUGUCUGCAUUCUUCAUAUCUUCUCAGCAUCCCUAUUUGGAAAGAAUUUUGUAUGUUCUCUGGCCAAAGGUCUUGGGCAAAAUGAGAACUCCUACCUGGGGGUUUGGCAAUCAUCUCAUGUCUUUCCAUAGUUAAAGGUUUUUUUCCUUGCUCCAGACAGGUAACCAGGUCUGGCUUAGAGACAACAAUACCUGUUUUAUUAAAAAUAAAUAACAUGAAUCUUGCUCAUAUACUCCCAUUACAAGCUAGUACUGUGCUCAGCAGAGAGGAUGUGAUAAAAUAUUCCAGUAAAUCAAUACCAAAAUAAUAAUUUAUAACAGAAAUUUCUAAAUAUUUAGAAAAUACUUUCAAUUUGUAGGUUUCUUAUUUUACUAUCUGAUACUACUGAAUCAAAAAUUAGUGGUAGCAAUUAGAUUUUCAGGUGGGGCAACAAUAUUUUAUGCCACUAAAUUUCUG